GUGCUGGCUUCUGCAGCACACAUACUAAAACUGCAAUAGUACAGAGAAGAUCAGCAUGACUUUUGUGCAAGGAUGACACAUAGAUUCAUGAUGGAUUCUAUUUUUUU